GCUUAACCGGAGAAGUGCAUCGGAAACUGAUAAACUUGAGUACAGAAAAGGACAGUGGAACUUCUUGUGUAGCGGUGAAAUGCGUAGAUAUAUGAAGGAACACCAGUGGCGAAGGCGGCUAUCUGGUCUGUAACUGACGCUGAGGCUCGAAAGCAUGGGUAGCAAACAGGAUUAGAUACCCUGGUAGUCCAUGCCGUAAACGAUGAAUGCUAAGUGUUGGAAGGUUUCCGCCUUUCAGUGCCGCAGCUAACGCAUUAAGCAUUCCGCCUGGGGAGUACGACCGCAAGGUUGAAACUCAAAGGAAUUGACGGGGACCCGCACAAGCGGUGGAGCAUGUGGUUUAAUUCGAUGCUACGCGAAGAACCUUACCAGGACUUGACAUCUUCUGCCAAUCUAAGAGAUUAGACGUUCCCUUCGGGGACAGAAUGACAGGUGGUGCAUGGUUGUCGUCAGCUCGUGUCGUGAGAUGUUGGGUUAAGUCCCGCAACGAGCGCAACCCUUAUCAUCAGUUGCCAGCAUUCAGUUGGGCACUCUGGAGAGACUGCCGGUGACAAACCGGAGGAAGGUGGGGAUGACGUCAAAUCAUCAUGCCCCUUAUGUCCUGGGCUACACACGUACUACAAUGGACGAUACAACG
rnacentral:rRNA from 1 species